CUACGGGUUGCUCCAGUGAGGAAUUUUGCGCAAUGGGGGAAACCCUGACGCAGCAACGCCGCGUGAGCGAAGAAGGCCUUCGGGUCGUAAAGCUCUGUCAAGUGGGAAAAAAAUUCUUUGAUGAACAGUCAAAGGACUUGAUGGUACCACUGGAGGAAGCACCGGCUAACUCCGUGCCAGCAGCCGCGGUAAUACGGAGGGUGCAAGCGUUGUUCGGAAUGACUGGGCGUAAAGAGCGUGUAGGCGGUUUGACAAGUCAGAUGUGAAAGCCCCGGGCUCAACCCGGGAAGUGCAUUUGAAACUGUUUCACUAGAGUAUGGGAGAGGAGAUUGGAAUUCCUGGUGUAGAGGUGAAAUUCGUAGAUAUCAGGAGGAUCACCCGUGGCGAAGGCGAUUCUCUGGACCAAUACUGACGCUGAGACGCGAAAGCGUGGGGAGCAAACAGGAUUAGAUACCCGGGUAGUC
rnacentral:rRNA from 1 species